AUACGGAGGGUGCAAGCGUUAUCCGGAUUCAUUGGGUUUAAAGGGUGCGCAGGCGGAUAUUUAAGUCAGUGGUGAAAUCCCGGGGCUCAACCUCGGAACUGCCAUUGAUACUGAAUAUCUGGAAUACGCUUGAAGUGGGCGGAAUGUAGCAUGUAGCGGAGAAAUGCAUAGAGAUGCUACAGAACACCGAUCGCGAAGGCAGCUCACUAAGCCGAUAUUGACGCUCAGGCACGAAAGCGUGGGGAGCGAACAGAAUUAGAAACCCUAGUAGUCC
rnacentral:rRNA from 1 species